UCCGAGUUAACCCCGGCAGUCUCCCGCGAGUCCCCGGCAUUACCCGCUGGCAACAUGGAACAGGGGUUGCGCUCGUUGCGCCACUUAACCCAACAUCUCACGACACGAGCUGACGACAGCCAUGCACCACCUGUGCACUGGCCCCGAAGGGCUGCCGUAUUUCUACGACAUUCCAGUGCAUGUCAAGCCCUGGUAAGGUUCUUCGCGUUGCGUCGAAUUGAGCCACAUGCUCCGCCGCUUGUGCGGGUCCCCGUCAAUUCCUUUGAGUUUUACCGUUGCCGGCGUACUCCCCAGGCGGAGAACUUAACGCGUUAGCUGCGACACCGAGAGGCAACCCUCCCAACAUCUAGUUCUCAUCGUUUACAGCGUGGACUAC
rnacentral:misc_RNA from 1 species